rnacentral:rRNA from 1 species
GACGAACGCUGGCGGCGUGCUUAACACAUGCAAGUCGAACGCGCCUGUCCUCUGGGUUUCUGGGGGGUGGGUGAGUGGCGAACGGGUGAGUAACACGUGAGUAACCUGCCCCCUUCUUCGGGAUAACGGUCUGAAAGGGCUGCUAAUACCGGGUAUUCACUGGUCUCCGCAUGGGGUCUGGUGGAAAGGUUUUUUUCUGGUGGGGGAUGGGCUCGCGGCCUAUCAGCUUGUUGGUGGGGUGAUGGCCCACCAAGGCUUUGACGGGUAGCCGGCCUGAGAGGGUGACCGGUAACAUUGGGACUGAGAUACGGCCCAGACUCCUACGGGAGGCAGCAGUGGGGAAUAUUGCACGAUGGGCGCAAGCCUGAUGCAGCGACGCCGCGUGAGGGAUGGAGGCCUUCGGGUUGUGAACCUCUUUCGCCCGUGGUCAAGCCGCGACGUGGGUCGUGGUGAGGGUAGUGGGUAAAGAAGCGCCGGCUAACUACGUG